GAUGAACGCUGGCGGCGUGCUUAACACAUGCAAGUCGAACGAAGCACUUUAUUUGAUUUCCUUCGGGACUGAUUAUUUUGUGACUGAGUGGCGGACGGGUGAGUAACGCGUGGGUAACCUGCCUUGUACAGGGGGAUAACAGUUGGAAACGGCUGCUAAUACCGCAUAAGCGCACGGCAUCGCAUGAUGCAGUGUGAAAAACUCCGGUGGUAUAAGAUGGACCCGCGUUGGAUUAGCUAGUUGGUGAGGUAACGGCCCACCAAGGCGACGAUCCAUAGCCGACCUGAGAGGGUGACCGGCCACAUUGGGACUGAGACACGGCCCAAACUCCUACGGGAGGCAGCAGUGGGGAAUAUUGCACAAUGGGCGAAAGCCUGAUGCAGCGAUGCCGCGUGAGCGAAGAAGUAUUUCGGUAUGUAAAGCUCUAUCAGCAGGGAAGAUAAUGGCGGUACCUGACUAAGAAGCACCGGCUAAAUACGUG
rnacentral:rRNA from 1 species